GGAGCCACUCCUUAGUUGCCCUGGCUGUGUGUUUCGGGUCGUUGUCAUGCUGGAAGACCCAGCUACGGCCCAUCUUCAAUGCUCUUACUGAGGGAAGGAGGUUGUUGGCAAAGAUCACGCGAUACAUGGCCCCAUCCUCCCCUCAAUACGGUGCAGUCGUCCUGUACCCUUUGCAGAAAAGCAUCCCCAAAGAAUGAUGUUUCCACCUCCAUGCUUCACGGUUGGGAUUGUGUUCUUUGUGGGGUUGUACUCAUCCUUCUUCAAACACGGCGAGAGGAGUUUAGACCAAAAAGCUCUAUUUUUGUCUCAUCAGACCACAUGACCUUCUCCCAUUCCUCCUCUGGAUCAUCCAGAUGGUCAUUGGCAAACUUCAGACGGGCCUGGACAUGUGCUGGCUUGAGCAGGGGGACCUUGUGUGCGCUGCAGGAUUUUAAUCCAUGACGGAGUAGUGUGUUCCUAAUGGUUUUCUUUGAGAUUGUGGUCCCAGCUCUCUUCAGGUCAUUGACCAGGUCCUGCCGUGUAGUUCUGGGCUGAUCCCUCACCUUCCUCAUGAUCAUUGAUGCCCCAUGAGGUGAGAUCUUGCAUGGAGCCCCAGACUGAGGGUGAUUGACCAUCAUCUUGAACGUCUUCCAUUUCAUAAUAAUUGUACCUACAGUUGUUGCCUUCUCACCAAGCUGCUUGCCUAUUGUCCUGUAGCUUAUCCCUGCCUUGUGCAAGUCUACAAUUUUAUCCCUGAUGUCCUUACACAGCUCUCUGGUCUUGGCCAUUGUGGAGAAGUUGGAGUCUGUUUUAGUGUGUGGACAGUUGUCUUUUAAACAAGUAACAAGUUCAAACAGAUGCAGUUAAUACAGGUAAUGAGUGGAGAACAAGAGGGCUUCUUAAAGAAAAACGAACAGGUCUGUGAGAGCUGGAAUUCUAACUGGUUGGUAGGUGAUCGAAUACAUAUGUCAUGCAAUAAAAUGCAAAUUAAUUACUUAAAAAUCAUACAAUGUGAUUCAGAUCUAGGAUGUGUUAUUUUAGUGUUCCCUUUAUUUUUUGAGCAGUAUAUAUAUAUGAAAAUCCAAAGAAGAAGAUUGAGGAUUUUCCACCUAAAACCAAACCUGGGCACCAAUAUACAGAUUAACACAUAUCUCAGUCUGAGCUAAAAGCGGCAGUUACUUUAGCAAGAAAAAUAAUAACGAUACGAAUAUUACUGAACAGGAGCACGUGAGAACUCACACCACUGCUUCAUGAUCAGAUUCAAAUAAAAAAGUUAUCCAAUGCUGCGGAGGAGCAGUUUACAGUUAUUUACCCGAGAGAGUCUAACACAGCAGCAUCUUCAGGUGUGUAGAGUUUUAUUAGGCGAACCGUUGACCGUAAUCUUCAAUUUGGCUGGCUACAGCAGUGCGUAGUCCAUCUUCAUUCUCUUGAGUCGAACCUUCACCUCAUCAAACGCUUUGCGUCUUCGUACAACGGGUAACCUCAAGAUGCUUAAUUCACUACAGCUGCUAUUGAAUAACUUUUGUUGGAUCCUGUAUUUUACAUUAUAGCCAUUACCAUAUAUAUGAUUGAAUAUUAUCUGCUGUUGGCUUGUGUGGAUGUAUGUAUGUGUUAUGCAACAUAGCUGACUUGAAACAUUGUUAAAAGUAUCAGGGCCAUGGGACUUUCUCAUGAUGGAAAAAUACAGAGAAGCAUGAAGACAGGAACUGUUCAAAUUAGUUGGGAGGGGGGCACAUUCAGAGCGGGGUGUUGCGAGAACAAGCGGUCUUUUGUUAGAUAACAGGAGCCAGGUGCGAGAUAACGGUAUGGAGCAUGAGAGCCUGGAUGUUCUUCACAAGCAAGUUACAUCUAUUAACAGAUGCGCCAAGAGGCGGGGACCCGCCUGAGCGCCUGCAAUAGGCUGAGCAAGUUUAAACCACGCCCAGUCUCUACUGUGAUAGGCCAACAGACGGGUUGGAACUGUCUAUCACAGUAUAAAGAAUACUGUUUACAUACAUCCUGUCAGUUCUCUGUUCUGCCCUGCCCUGCGUGGUAUUACUGUGAGCCCGUAUAUACGAAAGUUGCCAUUUAUUACUUAGCUAAUAAAAAAUACAUAGUAUAAAA